AUUUCUUUAGUAUAAUAGUAUAAAUGCCUUCCAAGCAUUAGGCCCCACCUUAAGGGAAGAAAUA
rnacentral:tRNA from 1 species